rnacentral:rRNA from 1 species
AGAUUGAACGCUGGCGGCAUGCCUUACACAUGCAAGUCGAACGGUAGAGUAGCAAUACUUGAGAGUGGCGAACGGGUGAGUAAUAUAUCGGAACGUGCCCAGUCGUGGGGGAUAACGUAGAGAAAUUUACGCUAAUACCGCAUACGAUCUAAGGAUGAAAGCGGGGGACCGUAAGGCCUCGCGCGAUUGGAGCGGCUGAUAUCAGAUUAGGUUGUUGGUGAGGUUAAAAGCUCACCAAGCCGACGAUCUGUAGCUGGUUUGAGAGAACGACCAGCCACACUGGGACUGAGACACGGCCCAGACU